GAUGGAAUUCAAUGUGAGCAAAUGCGAGGCCUUGCACUUUGGAAAAAAGAAUACAAGCAUGGACUACUUUCUAAACGGUUUGAGAGAUUGGAGAUGAGGCCUGACCACAGGGGUGAUAAGGAUGGGAGACAGGGAGACAAAGGUGACGAUGAUGUAGCUACUUACACGGACGAUGACAACUGAAUACUCCCCUUCCCUCAGCACGCUCCUCUCCAGCCUUGAGCAGAUCUCUGAAACCCUGGCAUCAAGCUGUAACAUUACCAUCUGGAUUCAGACUUUGCUGUCGGCAGCAGUGUCAAUCUACCUGACUGUACUGUCCCUUACUAUCAUUACAUUCCUCCAUAUGUUCCCUCCAUUUGAAGAGUUUCCUGUGCCACAGUGACAUUGUCAUUUAGCUCAUUCACAUUGCAGCCCUACUUGCUCAUUAAAUAGAUAUUUUUUUGAAAGCACCAUCUGUAUAUUUGGCCAAAUUACUUGUAAAAGGGAAGGAAGGGCCCAACUAAAUAUUAAAUUUGCUAUAAUUUUUUCAAUUACAUUGAACAUUUUCAUAGUUUUCAAUUUAUUGAAGCCAUUAGGCAUAUGCAGUAACCUGUACUAAAUCCUAUGCAACAAAGCACUUACGCCUUAAUUAAUUUAGGAAGUUGAGUAAUUUCUUUCCCCAAUUACAUUAGAUAUCUGAUAUAUCCGACAUAUCUUUGCUGGCAUUGAUCCAAGUUAAAGCACUUUAUAUUCCAUGGUAAGAGCUACAGAGGAGGAGCUGGA